GAUGAACGCUGGCGGCGUGCUUAAUACAUGCAAGUCGAACGGAAAGGCCCUGCUUUUGUGGGUUGCUCGAUUGGCGCACGGGUGAGUAACACGUGUGUAACCUGCCCUUGUCUUUGGGAUAACUUCAGGAAACUGGGGCUAAUACCGGAUAGGAUCUCCUGCUCCAUGGUGUGGGUUGGAAAGUUUCGGCGGUUGGGGAUGGACUCGCGGGUUAUCAGCUUGUUUGUGGAGUAGUGGCGUACCAAGGUUUUGACGGGUAGCCGGCCUGAGAGGGUAACCAGCGACAUGGGGACUAAGGUACGGCGCAGACGCCUACGGGAGGCAGCAGGGGGGAAUAUUGCGCAAUGGGCGGAAGCCUGAUACAGAAACGCCGCGUGCGGGAUGACGGCCUUCGGGUUGUAAACCGAUUUGGCCUGAGACGAAGCGUGAGUGACGGUAAUGGGUAAAGAAGCAACGGCUAACUACGUG
rnacentral:rRNA from 1 species